UACGGAGGGGGCAAGCGUUAUUCGGAAUCAUUGGGCGUAAAGGGCGCGUAGGCGGCUUGGCAAGUCAAAGGUGAAAUCCCUCGGCCCAACCGAGGAACUGCCUUUGAUACUGCCUCGCUUGAGGCCGGGAGAGGGUAGCGGAAUUCCCAGUGUAGCGGUGAAAUGCGUAGAUAUUGGGAGGAACACCGGUGGCGAAGGCGGCUACCUGGACCGGUUCUGACGCUGAUGCGCGAAAGCGUGGGUAGCAAACAGG
rnacentral:rRNA from 1 species